UAUAUAGCUUUAUCAAGCUAUAUACCUUUAUCGGGGUAUUGUGCUGGACCUGAUACAGGGGUCCUGGGUUCGAUUCCCGUUCCAGCCACAAGUUUUCAUCGUGCAUUUCUCCUUUCCUACUUCAUUUGGUGCUGUGCCAUGCCCUGGAACUGACAGGUGAAAGACCUGCCAGGGAUGAGCCGGAGUUGGGGUCUAAAGACCUUUAAGGAGGGAGGAAUGUGGCGGUCAGCUGGGUUCGAUUGCCGGUGGCCAGAUAGCUCAGUUGGUAGAGCACCUGACCGGAGUUUCAUGGGGCCUGGGUUCAAAUCCCGGUCUGGUCCACUGCAUUUUCUCCUCUUUAUUUAUUUAUCAAUCUCAUACAAUUAUAUACAUUAAAACUUAUUUUAUAGCAUAAGUACAAGAGAACCAGGCAGUAACAAAGAUGAAAGAUGCUGUUGCUGAAAGAUCCAGUCAAGCACUAAACUGACUUGAAUGAUCAGCCUCCUUAAAAAUGCAAAUCAAAUACAGGUUUUUGUCAGCUUAUCUGGAAAUCUUAGGACAUCACUGAUUUGAUCAAGAACUCAUCCAGCGUGAAGACCAGCCAUGUGCCUCACUUGUCAUGACAUUAUUAAAGCACUUUGUGACAGUGGGAAGAUGGGAUUUAAAACAUGACAUGGCUCUAUAUUAUUGCAUCAAAGACCAAUCCAGGUUUACGUAUAAAGUGAAGGAAAACAGUCAAGUAUCAUUUGGAGCCACGUGUACAUAUGUAACCGCCUAGGCGCCUUCACAAUAUGUCCUCUUAUUUAAGAAAUCACAGUGACCAGUUGUACCUAUGAUGUCGGACGAGAUCCUGAUAAAAACGUCUGCCGCACUCAUCACCAACUGCAAAGAAAUGAAAUUUUUAAAUGACUUGUAUCAACACUUUUGUACUACAUCUGGCUUGUAUUUUCAGAUCUUGUUAGCCUUUAUUUUCCUUCAAACAAAAUUUUAUAAGUACUAACCUGCAGGUGUAAAAUGUUUGAAACAAUUUGCUUGUCUCAGAAGAAAAUUCUCUGCCAUUUAGCAGUGUCAUGAGCAGUUGAUUCACUUGAUUGAGGUCACAAUUCCACCGGCAAAGAUUACAUUGGGUAUUUGUAGCUGAAUGGUGCCAAAUAAAACACUUUUCACAAGAACCUGGCAAAUGUAUUAAAGUGGAAGUGAGCAUCUACACAAAAAAUGAAUACUUUCUCAAAUAUUUACAGUGAUAUAUUAUGCCUGUGUACAUCCUAAAUAUAUAUAAAUAUAUAACUAAUUACACAAGUAACUAGCAAAUAUACAAUGUCAACUUCCUUAAUUUUUUUCUCAAGUUCAUGUAUAGUGUAUCAAAAUAAACAUGCAAUAUU